rnacentral:rRNA from 1 species
CUUGUACACACCGCCCGUCACACCAUGGGGAGUUGGUUGCACCAGAAGUAGGUAGCCUAACCGCAAGGGGGGGGCGCUUACCACGGUGUGGCUAAUGACUGGGGGUG